GGCGAGGCAAAUUGCUACCGCAGAUGGUCCUUGCGGGAACAAUAGGGACUACCUAUUUUUGCUGGAGAAGGCCUUGUUUGACAUAGGUCAUGAAGAUGAAUCUAUAAUCGAGCUGGCGUGCGAAGUGAGGAAGGUUCUAGCGAAGCUGAAGGAGAAGAAGAUAGCCGGGAGCCACAUCUCACUGAAGCCGCACCUCGCUCUCGUACACCUCCCUGCCCUCCCCGAACCCACAGUUGUGGACUCUAGAUGAAAAUUAACUGGCAAGGCAGGAAGCAUGAAAUCGGAGAUAAUCUAAGUUUUCUCCCAGAAGAUGCAGAGUCUCCCUAUUCAGGGCAUUUGAUUGUGAGAUGGGUUUCUUUUUCUUUCUGUCUUGUUGUAGGAAUUACU
rnacentral:misc_RNA from 1 species